UACGUAGGGUGCGAGCGUUGUCCGGAAUCAUUGGGCGUAAAGAGCGUGUAGGCGGCCCGGUAAGUCCGCUGUGAAAGUCCAGGGCUCAACCCUGGGAUGCCGGUGGAUACUGUCGGGCUCGAGUCCGGAAGAGGAGUGUGGAAUUCCUGGUGUAGCGGUGAAAUGCGCAGAUAUCAGGAGGAACACCAAUGGCGAAGGCAGCACUCUGGGACGUGACUGACGCUGAGACGCGAAAGCGUGGGGAGCGAACAGG
rnacentral:rRNA from 1 species